AUGAACGCUGGCGGCGUGCCUAAUACAUGCAAGUCGAGCGAACAGACGAGGAGCUUGCUCCUCUGACGUUAGCGGCGGACGGGUGAGUAACACGUGGAUAACCUACCUAUAAGACUGGGAUAACUUCGGGAAACCGGAGCUAAUACCGGAUAAUAUAUUGAACCGCAUGGUUCAAUAGUGAAAGACGGUUUUGCUGUCACUUAUAGAUGGAUCCGCGCCGCAUUAGCUAGUUGGUAAGGUAACGGCUUACCAAGGCAACGAUGCGUAGCCGACCUGAGAGGGUGAUCGGCCACACUGGAACUGAGACACGGUCCAGACUCCUACGGGAGGCAGCAGUAGGGAAUCUUCCGCAAUGGGCGAAAGCUUGACGGAGCAACGCCGCGUGAGUGAUGAAGGUCUUCGGAUCGUAAAACUCUGUUAUUAGGGAAGAACAAAUGUGUAAGUAACUAUGCACGUCUUGAUGGUACCUAAUCAGAAAGCCACGGCUAACUACGUG
rnacentral:rRNA from 1 species